AUGUCAUAUUCAUAUACUUGUAGAUGCCAGUGCCAGUAAUUAAGUUGUUGUUCUCCCUCGUUUCAUCGGGUACUGAUAUUCUCUUAAUUAUGUUAUUAUUUUUUGAUUAAAUUUGCUUCCUGACUUGUUUUUUUUCCUCGUACUGUCUGCAUGCACACUGGUAUGAGGCGCUGUUUAUGUUUCGUUGGCGUCUCUUUUUCGAACUCCGCGUCCACAUGUCCCAGCGGGUCUCUCAAUAUUGCAAAACAGUUACUGUCUCUGCCUGGAAGGUUUUUGGGGUGCGCAGUUCAGCAGUCUUUUGCGGUUAUAGUUUGUGUGCACGAUUCAUCCUAGUUUAUUAGGUGGAAGCUGUUAACAGGUGCUGCUGAGUACCAAAAUAAAAGCAAAUUAACAUGCCCAGUAUUUCUGGGGAGUGGAAUCGAUUUGCGGCCAAAUGUCUGUGAAUUUCUGCAGAAUCUCGCAGGGACUGUCGAUUAAACUUGUUAUCUUGUGAUUAAAAAGAGCGCAGUAUUGGAAGUAAAGAUGCACGCGAAAUGCAAGUAGGUUUGAAAUCUCCCAGUUGAAUGGAGCAGACUUGAGCGGGUCUUUAUCAUCCAUAACCUCCCCCCCCCGCCCUCACAUCUACCCCUGCUCUGGACACGUCUUCAGAGCAUGGUGGUGUUGAGCUGAUGCAGGGGCAGGAUGAGGGUCUGGGAGAUUGACACACACAGGACUGUGUACAUCCUCCUGCAGACAAGAGAGCAGAAGAGCUGUGAAAUCAGCCAGCCGAUCAACACCUGCACACUGCUGCAUGAGAGACGCCGAACACCCAAUGAAGUUUGGAAGCCAGAUCUUCUUGUCUUUUACAGCAUGUUUACAUUCACUGAGGCAGCAGCAGCUGCAGCAAGGACAUACAGACACACAGACAGACGGAUGGAUGGACAGUGACACUGCAUUGACAACCCAAUGGUUCUAUAAAGGCAAUGCUAACAGCAUAAGUUUCAUAUAUGGACAUGUCAACAUUAUCACACCCAUUACAGUAACAGGGUAUGCUCACCACAUUAUGAAAACUUGCACUGAAAAAUUGAUAUCAGUUUUAUUGGUUGCAUAAUAUAUGCGAGGUCCUUCAUUUUCUGUUUUUACCUAUUUUUACCUUAAAGUACAAGAAUUGACUUUGGACUUGGUCACUCAGAAACCUGUCUGGCACACCUCUCACAAAGUCUUCAGAGCAGGGAGUAUCCUUGCUGCAGUUCGAUAUGGUGUAACAGUAAUAUGUCCUGCUAGCAUCCUCUGUGCCAAGUUUUUAGCAGUUUCAACAAUCCCCAGUAUUGUAAACUGAUUUCCAAGCGAGCAACCUGAAUGAUCCAUGUGAACCAGCCAGCCGGUUUCACUUUGAAACCAAGACGCAUUCACGCUGUGUGCAGUCUUAACUUUGAACGUGGUAUCCUCCUCAUUAAUCCAGGUGGGGACACGGAGUGGAAGUGAAAAGGCUGCUGUAAAACAAGACCUUUGACUGCUGACAAACUAAGGUGUGUAAAAGUAAUAAAGAGUGCUUGUAAGCUAUUAGCACAUGCCGGGAAUAGCAGCCCUAUCAAUGCUCUCUGUACAGUAUUGUAUAAUAAAAUAAUAUAUUGAAAUACAAUGCAUUCCCAUUUGUACGGUAUUGUUUAUACUGUAGUCCAGAGCUUCAAGGCUUCUCUUUGGGA